rfam:TPA: Bos taurus chromosome X, whole genome shotgun sequence.
UGGCUCAGAGGUUAAAGCGUCUGCCUGGAAUGCAGGAGACCCAGGUUCGAUCCCUGG